UACGUGGGGAGCAAGCGUUGUUCGGAUUUACUGGGCGUAAAGGGCGCGUAGGCGGUAGCACAAGUCAGUUGUGAAAUCUCCGGGCUUAACUCGGAAAGGUCAACUGAUACUGUGCGACUAGAGUGCAGAAGGGGCAACUGGAAUUCUCGGUGUAGCGGUGAAAUGCGUAGAUAUCAGGAGGAACACCAAUGGCGAAGGCAGCUCGCUGGAACGGUACUGACGCUGAGGCGCGAAAGCGUGGGGAGCGAACAGG
rnacentral:rRNA from 1 species